GACUAAGCGUACACGGUGGAUGCCUAGGCAAUCAGAGGCGAUGAAGGACGUGCUAAUCUGCGAUAAGCGUCGGUAAGGUGAUAUGAACCGUUAUACCCGACGAUUUCCGAAUGGGGAAACCCAGUGCAAUUCGUUGCACUAUCGUUUGAUGAAUACAUAGUCAAACGAAGCGAACCGGGGGAACUGAAACAUCUCAGUACCCCGAGGAAAAGAAAUCAACCGAGAUUCCCCUAGUAGCGGCGAGCGAACGGGGAGCAGCCCAGAGUCUUAAUCAGCAUUAGUAUCAGGAGAACGGUCUGGAAAGUCCGGCAGUAAAGGGUGAUAGCCCCGUAUCUGAAGAUAUUAGUGUUGUGAACUCGACGAGUAGGGCGGGACACGUGUUAUCCUGUCUGAAUAUGGGGGGACCAUCCUCCAAGGCUAAAUACUCCUGAUUGACCGAUAGUGAACCAGUACCGUGAGGGAAAGGCGAAAAGAACCCCGGCGAGGGGAGUGAAAUAGAACCUGAAACCGUGUACGUACAAGCAGUGGGAGCCUUGAUUUAUCAGGGUGACUGCGUACCUUUUGUAUAAUGGGUCAGCGACUUAU
rnacentral:rRNA from 1 species